rnacentral:rRNA from 1 species
CCUACGGGUGGCUGCAGUGGGGAAUAUUGGACAAUGGGGGCAACCCUGAUCCAGCCAUGCCGCGUGUGUGAAGAAGGCCCUCGGGUUGUGAAGCACUUUCAGUGAGGAAGAACGCCUGGUGGUUAAUACCCAUCAGGAAAGACAUCACUCACAGAAGAAGCACCGGCUAACUCCGUGCCAGCAGCCGCGGUAAUACGGAGGGUGCGAGCGUUAAUCGGAAUUACUGGGCGUAAAGCGCGCGUAGGUGGCUUGAUAAGCCGGUUGUGAAAGCCCCGGGCUCAACCUGGGAACGGCAUCCGGAACUGUCAAGCUAGAGUGCAGGAGAGGAAGGUAGAAUUCCCGGUGUAGCGGUGAAAUGCGUAGAGAUCGGGAGGAAUACCAGUGGCGAAGGCGGCCUUCUGGACUGACACUGACACUGAGGUGCGAAAGCGUGGGUAGCAAACAGGAUUAGAUACCCUAGUAGUC